UACCAGCACCCCGAGUGGUCGGGACGAUUAUUGGGCCUAAAGCAUCCGUAGCCGGUCAUGCAAGUCCUCCGUUAAAAUCCACCUGCUUAACAGAUGGGCUGCGGAGGAUACUACAAGGCUAGGAGGCGGAAGAGGCAAGCGGUACUCAGUGGGUAGGGGUAAAAUCCUCUGAUCCAUUGAAGACCACCAGUGGCGAAGGCGGCUUGCCAAUACGCGCUCGACGGUGAGGGAUGAAAGCUGGGGGAGCAAACCGGG
rnacentral:rRNA from 1 species